rfam:Microgenomates bacterium GW2011_GWC2_46_7 TX64_C0025, whole genome shotgun sequence.
GCGGGUAUGGUGUAGCGGUAACACAACUGCUUUCCAAGCAGUUAUCAGGGGUUCGAUCCCCCUUACCCGCU